rnacentral:rRNA from 1 species
UGGGGAAUAUUGCACAAUGGGCGCAAGCCUGAUGCAGCAACGCCGCGUGAACGAUGAAGGUAUUCGGAUUGUAAAGUUCUGUUGCAGGGGAAGAUAAUGACGGUACCCUGUGAGGAAGCUCCGGCUAACUACGUGCCAGCAGCCGCGGUAAUACGUAGGGGGCUAGCGUUAUCCGGAUUUACUGGGCGUAAAGGGUGCGUAGGUGGUCCUUCAAGUCGGUGGUUAAAGGCUACGGCUCCACCGUAGUAAGCUGCCGAAACUGGAGGACUUGAGUGCAGGAGAGGAAAGUGGAAUUCCCAGUGUAGCGGUAAAAUGCGUAGAUAUUGGGAGGAACACCAGUAGCGAAGGCGGCUUUCUGGACUGCAACUGACACUGAGGCACGAAAGCGUGGGUAGCAAACAGG